AUGAACGCUAGCUACAGGCUUAACACAUGCAAGUCGAGGGGCAGCAUUUCAGUUUGCUUGCAAACUGGAGAUGGCGACCGGCGCACGGGUGAGUAACACGUAUCCAACCUGCCGAUAACUCGGGGAUAGCCUUUCGAAAGAAAGAUUAAUACCCGAUGGUAUAAUCAGACCGCAUGGUCUUGUUAUUAAAGAAUUUCGGUUAUCGAUGGGGAUGCGUUCCAUUAGGCAGUUGGUGAGGUAACGGCUCACCAAACCUUCGAUGGAUAGGGGUUCUGAGAGGAAGGUCCCCCACAUUGGAACUGAGACACGGUCCAAACUCCUACGGGAGGCAGCAGUGAGGAAUAUUGGUCAAUGGGCGCAGGCCUGAACCAGCCAAGUAGCGUGAAGGAUGACUGCCCUAUGGGUUGUAAACUUCUUUUAUAUGGGAAUAAAGUUUUCCACGUGUGGAAUUUUGUAUGUACCAUAUGAAUAAGGAUCGGCUAACUCCGUGCCAGCAGCCGCGGUAAUACGGAGGAUCCGAGCGUUAUCCGGAUUUAUUGGGUUUAAAGGGAGCGUAGGUGGACAGUUAAGUCAGUUGUGAAAGUUUGCGGCUCAACCGUAAAAUUGCAGUUGAUACUGGUUGUCUUGAGUACAGUAGAGGUGGGCGGAAUUCGUGGUGUAGCGGUGAAAUGCUUAGAUAUCACGAAGAACUCCGAUUGCGAAGGCAGCUCACUGGACUGCAACUGACACUGAUGCUCGAAAGUGUGGGUAUCAAACAGGAUUAGAUACCCUGGUAGUCCACACAGUAAACGAUGAAUACUCGCUGUUUGCGAUAUACAGUAAGCGGCCAAGCGAAAGCAUUAAGUAUUCCACCUGGGGAGUACGCCGGCAACGGUGAAACUCAAAGGAAUUGACGGGGACCCGCACAAGCGGUGGAGCAUGUGGUUUAAUUCGAAGCAACGCGAAGAACCUUACCAAGUCUUGACAUCCUUCUGACCGGUACUUAAUCGUACCUUCUCUUCGGAGCAGGAGUGACAGGUGGUGCAUGGUUGUCGUCAGCUCGUGCCGUGAGGUGUCGGCUUAAGUGCCAUAACGAGCGCAACCCUUAUCUUUAGUUACUAACAGGUCAUGCUGAGGACUCUAGAGAGACUGCCGUCGUAAGAUGUGAGGAAGGUGGGGAUGACGUCAAAUCAGCACGGCCCUUACGUCCGGGGCUACACACGUGUUACAAUGGGGGGUACAGAAGGCAGCUACCUGGUGACAGGAUGCUAAUCCCAAAAGCCUCUCUCAGUUCGGAUCGAAGUCUGCAACCCGACUUCGUGAAGCUGGAUUCGCUAGUAAUCGCGCAUCAGCCAUGGCGCGGUGAAUACGUUCCCGGGCCUUGUACACACCGCCCGUCAAGCCAUGAAAGCCGGGGGUACCUGAAGUACGUAACCGCAAGGAGCGUCCUAGGGUAAAACUGGUAAUUGGGGCU
rnacentral:rRNA from 1 species